rnacentral:rRNA from 1 species
AGUGAACGCUGGCGAUAGGCCUAACACAUGCAAGUCGAACGGCAGCAUAGUAAGAGCUUGCUCUUACGGGUGGCGAGUGGCGGACGGGUGAGGAAUACAUCGGAAUCUACUUUUUCGUGGGGGAUAACGUAGGGAAACUUACGCUAAUACCGCAUACGACCUACGGGUGAAAGCAGGGGAUCUUCGGACCUUGCGCGAUUGAAUGAGCCGAUGUCGGAUUAGCUAGUUGGCGGGGUAAAGGCCCACCAAGGCGACGAUCCGUAGCUGGUCUGAGAGGAUGAUCAGCCACACUGGAACUGAGACACGGUCCAGACUCCUACGGGAGGCAGCAGUGGGGAAUAUUGGACAAUGGGCGCAAGCCUGAUCCAGCCAUACCGCGUGGGUGAAGAAGGCCUUCGGGUUGUAAAGCCCUUUUGUUGGGAAAGAAAAGCAGCAGGUUAAUACCCCGCUGUUCUGACGGUACCCAAAGAAUAAGCACCGGCUAACUUCGCG